AUACCUUUCUCGGCCUUUUGGCUAAGAUCAAGUGUAGUAUCCGUUCUUAUCAGUUUAAUAUGCGAGCCAUGCGCUCGCUUGAUAUUAAAUUUAUUUUUCGUGGGGGAGGAUCCGUAUUAGUGGCUUGCCACUAGGAUUCUCGUGUGUCGCCUGAGCGUUGCACUAAAGCUCGGGCAAGGCACACCCCAA
rfam:Oryza brachyantha chromosome 8, whole genome shotgun sequence.